UUAACACAUGCAAGUCGGACGGGAGACACGGGACAUGGUGUUUCCAGUGACGGAUGGGUGAGUAACGCGUAAGAACCUGCCCUUGGGAGGGGAAUAACAACUGGAAACGACUGCUAAUACACCGUAGGCUGAGAAGCAAAAGGAGGAAUCUGCUUGAGGAAGGGGUCACGUCUGAUUAGCUAGUUGGUGAGACAAUAGCUUACCAAGUUGAUGAUCAGUAAGCCACACUGAAACUAAGACACGGCCCAAACUCUCUAUAUAUAUAUCAAUGA
rnacentral:ncRNA from 1 species